CUCAAGAUCAUCAUAUUGAAAGUAAACGCUGAGCCGUGAUGGAGUUAUCGUAAGGGCCGAACUAACAAAGCUUAAUAAUAUAAAAUCUUAAAAAAACAAUGUUAAUUAAUCCAUCCCUUUAUUAUUUUGUUUGAUAAUUGCCAAGGAUUUCACACAGAAUCCCCUCCCCCAAUACCCCCAAGUGAAUCCAUCCCACUACUACACAAAAUAAUACUUCUUUCCCUCCGAGUCAGAGACAGAUUUUCAUAUUUUCGUUCAGGGGGUGGAUAAUAUCUGGGGAGGGUGCUGCUGCUUGCUUUGUCCAGGGCAUGGUGGCAACACCCAGAAAGGCCAAGGAAAAAGUUUAACAAAAUUUUUUCUAGGCCUGCAUGGCGAGAUCUGAGACCAUAAUAUUGGUAAUUUUACAAAUUUAGUAGUAAGAAUAAUCAAAUAUGAAACUAUCAAAUCGAAAUAUAUGUAAUUUGCAGGGGUGCCAAAUGCCUUUGGGAGGUGCAAAUCAUUUCUGGGAGGGUGCGCACCCCCCCCCCCACACACACACACACAGAAAAUCUGUGCCUGCUCUGAAUUAACAAUGAAAGCAUUUUUUUACAGAUCUCUGCAAUAUUAUGUUUACAAGUUCCUUGAAGAUAUGAUUAUAAUAAAUGGUGACAUAUGUCUGUACAUUGUAGAGCAUUUUGUACAUAUUUUGUACUUAUAUUACUGAGGCCAAAUAAACAUAAUAGUUGGUUUCAGGUUUCACAGCCAUGUUUUAUAUGGGUAGGUACGUUGGAAAAGCAUUUUAUUUAAAAACACAUAAUCAGACGUGCCACACGGGAUCAACCGGGAGCUACACAUGUUUUGCGAGAAACAAAUGCGUCAAGGAUUAACAUGACUAGAUAAUGAUUAAAUUAUGAGCAAACAAAAUACUUUGUAGCAAAUGACUCUGAUGACUAUUUAUAUAUUCUGAUAUUUACGAAAAGAUGAUCCCUACUUGGGAAAUGUCAAUAAUAUGUUUAUGGCCGGUCAUAUUUUUGACACGUCGGUCAGAAACCUGAAGCCAACUAUUAUUUUUAUUUGGCCUGAGUACUUUUUAUAAUAUUCAGACAAUAGAUAAAUUUGUAUCAUAAUUAAAUUUGUAUCAAAAUCUGUAAUUUAAUAAAUAUUCAUUCCAUCUUGUUUCAUUUCUUGUUUUCUUUAGUAGCCUACAAGAAAAGAUCUUCUUAGAAAAUCUGAUAUUUUUGAAAACUUAUUACAUGUAUAUACACAAGGCUGUCGGAAGUAAAUCAAUAUUGGGAUGGGGUCUCAAGAAUAAAUUUGAAUUGCUUUUGCACUUUUCAGUGUGUUUGCUCAUACAAAUGGAAGAUGGGGGGGGCUUAUGCUGCCCCCCCCCCACUUCUGAGUUCUGACAACCUUGAUACAUGAUCUAACUGGCACCUGGCUAGGCCCCACACACCUAUGUUUUUUUCCCCAAUGAAAUUAUUAAUAAGAACAGUAUGCUAAAAGGGGUUCAAACAUGGGGGAUGUUUCUGUGAAAGCUGGCUUUGCCUGAUAAGAGGGAUAUCCCCAUGUAUAGCAAGCCUUUUUUAAGGUACUAUCACUGUUUGAAUCACUCAAACCUGAUGCUGAUACAGCUGAUUGCUAAGUAAGUGCACAAGGGUUUGUUUUGAAAAUUGCAUUAAUAAAACCAAGUCAGUAUGGUGUUAAGCCUCAAAAACUGAAAACAAUAGACUUGGCAUAGACCCUUCCUGCAAGGGGUGCAAACAAUAAAAUUCCUUAUAUUUA
rnacentral:lncRNA from 1 species